GUAGUGGUAACACACACCUUUAAUCCCAGCACUAGGGAGGUGGAGACAGGAAGUGUUAUGGCUGGACAAAGAGAGGAAUACAAGGCAGGAGGCGUCAGGAGUUCACUCUCUUUUAGGCUGAGGAUUUCGUAGAGUUAUAUACAGGAAUCUGGCAAAUGUAUGAGAUGAAACUGAUAAAAAUAGGAAAGAACAGGACCUUCAUCAUAAUUCUGCUGCUAAAUGGAACUGAUAACAUGGAGAAUGGGCUAAGAAACCGAUUGCAGCUACACCUUUCUGAAAAGUGUGGAGAAAAAUAAAUUCACUUGCAUGCCUUUA